rnacentral:rRNA from 1 species
GUGCCAGCAGCCGCGGUAAUACCGGCAGCCCGAGUGAUGGCCGAUCUUAUUGGGCCUAAAGCGUCCGUAGCUGGCCUCGCAAGUCCGUCGGGAAAUCCAUCAGCCCAACUGAUGGGCGUCCGGCGGAAACUACAAGGCUUGGGACCGGAAGGCUCGAGGGGUACGUCCGGGGUAGGAGUGAAAUCCCGUAAUCCCGGACGGACUACCGAUGGCGAAAGCACUCUGAGAAGACGGCUUCGACAGUGAGGGACGAAAGCUCGGGUCUCAAACCGGAUUAGAAACCCGAGUAGUCC